rnacentral:rRNA from 1 species
AUUGAACGCUGGCGGCAGGCCUAACACAUGCAAGUCGAGCGGCAGCACGGGUACUUGUACCUGGUGGCGAGCGGCGGACGGGUGAGUAAUGCCUAGGAAUCUGCCUGGUAGUGGGGGAUAACGCUCGGAAACGGACGCUAAUACCGCAUNCGUCCUACGGGAGAAAGCAGGGGACCUUCGGGCCUUGCGCUAUCAGAUGAGCCUAGGUCGGAUUAGCUAGUUGGUGAGGUAAUGGCUCACCAAGGCGACGAUCCGUAACUGGUNUGAGAGGAUGAUCAGUCACACUGGAAAUGAGACACGGUCCAGACUCCUACGGGAGGCAGCAGUGGGGAAUAUUGGACAAUNGGAGAAAGCNUGAUCCANCCAUGCCGCGUGUGUGAAGAAGGUCUUCGGAUUGUAAAGCACUUUAAGUUGGGAGGAAGGGCAUUUACCUAAUACGUAAGUGUNNGACGUUACCGACAGAAUAAGCACCGGCU